rnacentral:rRNA from 1 species
AUUGAACGCUGGCGGCAGGCCUAACACAUGCAAGUCGAGCGGAUGAAGAGAGCUUGCUCCUGGAUUCAGCGGCGGACGGGUGAGUAAUGCCUAGGAAUCUGCCUGGUAGUGGGGGAUAACGUCCGGAAACGGGCGCUAAUACCGCAUACGUCCUGAGGGAGAAAGUGGGGGAUCUUCGGACCUCACGCUAUCAGAUGAGCCUAGGUCGGAUUAGCUAGUUGGUGGGGUAAAGGCCUACCAAGGCGACGAUCCGUAACUGGUCUGAGAGGAUGAUCAGUCACACUGGAACUUAGACACGGUCCAGACUCCUACGGGAGGCAGCAGUGGGGAAUAUUGGACAAUGGGCGAAAGCCUGAUCCAGCCAUGCCGCGUGUGUGAAGAAGGUCUUCGGAUUGUAAAGCACUUUAAGUUGGGAGGAAGGGCAGUAAGUUAAUACCUUGCUGUUUUGACGUUACCAACAGAAUAAGCACCGGCUAACUUCGUG